CCUACGGGAGACAGCAGUGGGGAAUAUUGCGCAAUGGGCGAAAGCCUGACGCAGCGAUGCCGCGUGAGGGAUGAAGGUCUUCGGAUCGUAAACCUCUGUCAGCAGGGAAGAACGGUCACUGUGCUAUUCAGCAGUGAAUUGACGGUACCUGCAAAGGAAGCACCGGCUAACUCCGUGCCAGCAGCCGCGGUAAUACGGAGGGUGCGAGCGUUAAUCGGAAUUACUGGGCGUAAAGCGCUCGUAGGCGGUAUGUCAAGUCAAGGGUGAAAUCCCCGCGCUCAACGUGGGAACUGCCUUUGAAACUGGCAAGCUGGAGUGUGUGAGAGGAUAGUAGAAUUCCAGGUGUAGGAGUGAAAUCCGUAGAUAUCUGGAGGAACAUCGGUGGCGAAGGCGACUAUCUGGCACAUAACUGACGCUGAGGAGCGAAAGCGUGGGUAGCAAACAGGAUUAGAUACCCGAGUAGUC
rnacentral:rRNA from 1 species